AACUUUCAACAAUGGAUCUCUUGGCUCUCGCAUCAAUAAAAAACGCACCAAAAUGCAAUAAUUAAUAUGAAUUGCAAAAUUCCGUGAAUCAUCAAAUUUUUGAACGCAAAUUGCACUUCUUGGUAUUCCGAGGAGUACACAUGCUUGAGGGUCAGUU
rnacentral:rRNA from 1 species